UACGUAGGGCGCAAGCGUUGUCCGGAAUUAUUGGGCGUAAAGAGCUCGUAGGCGGCUCGGUAAGUCGGGUGUGAAAUUUCGAGGCUUAACCUCGAAACGCCACCCGAUACUGCUGUGGCUAGAGUCCGGUAGGGGAGCGUGGAAUUCCUGGUGUAGCGGUGAAAUGCGCAGAUAUCAGGAGGAACACCAGCGGCGAAGGCGGCGCUCUGGGCCGGUACUGACGCUGAGGAGCGAAAGCGUGGGGAUCAAACAGG
rnacentral:rRNA from 1 species